AUAGCGAGCAGUGGCGGAUCCA
rnacentral:siRNA from 1 species